AGUGCAAUUGCUGGAUCAUAUGGUAAUAGUGUAUUUAGCUUUGUAAGAAACUGCCAAAUUGUUAUCAAAAGUUGCUGUACCAUUUUUCAUUCCCACUAGCAAU
rnacentral:pre_miRNA from 1 species